AUUGAACGCCGGCGGCAGGCCUAACACAUGCAAGUCGUGCGGAUGAAGGGAGCUUGCUCUUGGAUUCAGCGGAGGACGGGUGUGUAAUGCCUAUAAAUCGGCCUGGUAGUGGGGGUUAACGUCGGGAAAUGGUCGCUAAUCCCGCAUACGUCUUGAGGGAGAAAGUGGGGGAUCUUCGGACCCCACGCUAUCAGAUGAGCCUAGGUCGGAUUAGCUAGUUGGUGGGGUAAAGGCCUACCAAGGCGACGAUCCGUAACUGGUCUGAGAGGAUGAACAGUCACACUGAGAGUGAGAGACGGUCCAGGGUCCUACGGGAGGCAGAAGUGGGGAAUAUUGGACGCUGGGCGGAAGACUGAUCCAUCCGUGCAACGUGUGUGAAGAAGGUCUUCGGAUUGUAAAACAGUUUAAGUUGGGAGGAAGGGCAGUAAGAUAAUACAUUCCUGUUUUGACGUUACCAGCAGAAUAAGCACCGGCUAACUUCGUG
rnacentral:rRNA from 1 species